AAGUCGUAACAAGGUUUCCGUAGGUGAACCUGCGGAAGGAUCAUUAUCGAAGUUUGCGAAGGUUGAGCUGGCCCUGCAUGUGCUCGCCUUCAACACAACCUCUUCAUCCCUUGUGCACCUUUGUAGGCUAUGAAUGAAAUUCCGGUUGCAAAACCGGGACGUGGAGUUUGCGGACUUCCGAGUUCGCUUCCUUCAAUCUUUUCAUGGUCUAUGUUUUUAUAUACUCUUAAGUCUGGAAUGUCUAUUGUUGGUCUUUGACCGAUAAAAUCUUAUACAACUUUCAACAACGGAUCUCUUGGCUCUC
rnacentral:misc_RNA from 1 species